rnacentral:rRNA from 1 species
CACACUAUCAUUAACUGAAUCCAUAGGUUAAUGAGGCGAACCGGGGGAACUGAAACAUCUAAGUACCCCGAGGAAAAGAAAUCAACCGAGAUUCCCCCAGUAGCGGCGAGCGAACGGGGAGCAGCCCAGAGCCUGAAUCAGUGUGUGUGUUAGUGGAAGCGUCUGGAAAGGCGCGCGAUACAGGGUGACAGCCCCGUACACAAAAAUGCACAUGCUGUGAGCUCGAUGAGUAGGGCGGGACACGUGGUAUCCUGUCUGAAUAUGGGGGGACCAUCCUCCAAGGCUAAAUACUCCUGACUGACCGAUAGUGAACCAGUACCGUGAGGGAAAGGCGAAAAGAACCCCGGCGAGGGGAGUGAAAAAGAACCUGAAACCGUGUACGUACAAGCAGUGGGAGCACAGAGCAAUCUGUGUGACUGCGUACCUUUUGUAUAAUGGGUCAGCGACUUAUAUUCUGUAGCAAGGUUAACCGAAUAGGGGAGCCGAAGGGAAACCGAGUCUUAACUGGGCGUUAAGUUGCAGGGUAUAGACCCGAAACCCGGUGAUCUAGCCAUGGGCAGGUUGAAGGUUGGGUAACACUAACUGGAGGACCGAACCGACUAAUGUUGAAAAAUUAGCGGAUGACUUGUGGCUGGGGGUGAAAGGCCAAUCAAACCGGGAGAUAGCUGGUUCUCCCCGAAAGCUAUUUAGGUAGCGCCUCGUGAAUUCAUCUCCGGGGGUAGAGCACUGUUUCGGCAAGGGGGUCAUCCCGACUUACCAACCCGAUGCAAACUGCGAAUACCGGAGAAUGUUAUCACGGGAGACACACGGCGGGUGCUAACGUCCGUCGUGAAGAGGGAAACAACCCAGACCGCCAGCUAAGGUCCCAAAGUCAUGGUUAAGUGGGAAACGAUGUGGGAAGGCCCAGACAGCCAGGAUGUUGGCUUAGAAGCAGCCAUCAUUUAAAGAAAGCGUAAUAGCUCACUGGUCGAGUCGGCCUGCGCGGAAGAUGUAACGGGGCUAAACCAUGCACCGAAGCUGCGGCAGCGACGCUGAUGCGUUGUUGGGUAGGGGAGCGUUCUGUAAGCCUGUGAAGGUGUGCUGUGAGGCAUGCUGGAGGUAUCAGAAGUGCGAAUGCUGACAUAAGUAACGAUAAAGCGGGUGAAAAGCCCGCUCGCCGGAAGACCAAGGGUUCCUGUCCAACGUUAAUCGGGGCAGGGUGAGUCGACCCCUAAGGCGAGGCCGAAAGGCGUAGUCGAUGGGAAACAGGUUAAUAUUCCUGUACUUGGUGUUACUGCGAAGGGGGGACGGAGAAGGCUAUGUUGGCCGGGCGACGGUUGUCCCGGUUUAAGCGUGUAGGCUGGUUUUCCAGGCAAAUCCGGAAAAUCAAGGCUGAGGCGUGAUGACGAGGCACUACGGUGCUGAAGCAACAAAUGCCCUGCUUCCAGGAAAAGCCUCUAAGCAUCAGGUAACAUCAAAUCGUACCCCAAACCGACACAGGUGGUCAGGUAGAGAAUACCAAGGCGCUUGAGAGAACUCGGGUGAAGGAACUAGGCAAAAUGGUGCCGUAACUUCGGGAGAAGGCACGCUGAUAUGUAGGUGAAGUCCCUCGCGGAUGGAGCUGAAAUCAGUCGAAGAUACCAGCUGGCUGCAACUGUUUAUUAAAAACACAGCACUGUGCAAACACGAAAGUGGACGUAUACGGUGUGACGCCUGCCCGGUGCCGGAAGGUUAAUUGAUGGGGUUAGCGCAAGCGAAGCUCUUGAUCGAAGCCCCGGUAAACGGCGGCCGUAACUAUAACGGUCCUAAGGUAGCGAAAUUCCUUGUCGGGUAAGUUCCGACCUGCACGAAUGGCGUAAUGAUGGCCAGGCUGUCUCCACCCGAGACUCAGUGAAAUUGAACUCGCUGUGAAGAUGCAGUGUACCCGCGGCAAGACGGAAAGACCCCGUGAACCUUUACUAUAGCUUGACACUGAACAUUGAGCCUUGAUGUGUAGGAUAGGUGGGAGGCUUUGAAGUGUGGACGCCAGUCUGCAUGGAGCCGACCUUGAAAUACCACCCUUUAAUGUUUGAUGUUCUAACGUUGACCCGUGAUCCGGGUUGCGGACAGUGUCUGGUGGGUAGUUUGACUGGGGCGGUCUCCUCCUAAAGAGUAACGGAGGAGCACGAAGGUUGGCUAAUCCUGGUCGGACAUCAGGAGGUUAGUGCAAUGGCAUAAGCCAGCUUGACUGCGAGCGUGACGGCGCGAGCAGGUGCGAAAGCAGGUCAUAGUGAUCCGGUGGUUCUGAAUGGAAGGGCCAUCGCUCAACGGAUAAAAGGUACUCCGGGGAUAACAGGCUGAUACCGCCCAAGAGUUCAUAUCGACGGCGGUGUUUGGCACCUCGAUGUCGGCUCAUCACAUCCUGGGGCUGAAGUAGGUCCCAAGGGUAUGGCUGUUCGCCAUUUAAAGUGGUACGCGAGCUGGGUUUAGAACGUCGUGAGACAGUUCGGUCCCUAUCUGCCGUGGGCGCUGGAGAACUGAGGGGGGCUGCUCCUAGUACGAGAGGACCGGAGUGGACGCAUCACUGGUGUUCGGGUUGUCAUGCCAAUGGCACUGCCCGGUAGCUAAAUGCGGAAGAGAUAAGUGCUGAAAGCAUCUAAGCACGAAACUUGCCCCGAGAUGAGUUCUCCCUGAC